GCUGUGACCCGGUUUGGCCUCGCACUAUUGCGAUAUUUGCGGUCCCUUGGGCAGUAGAAGUACGACUCCGUCUCACUGCCGGUGCUCGCAAGCUCUGUUGUUGAGAAGGAACAGUCAAGUUGUUAGACUUUGCAGUAUGGAUGGAACCGGAACCCAGGCAUGAGGAUCUCAUCUGCUUUGACAUCAUUUCUGCUCUCCAUAUCUCACAAAGGUACGAGUUCUUCAACUUGCACAAACUUGCAAAGGCUAGCUAUCCUUUGUGCAAUAAGCUAGUGAAUGGCUUCUUGGGAUGAAGCUGCUGAGGUGAAGACAAUCGCCGGGAGAUGUGCACUACAGAUACUGCGAUGCAAUCUACUGCGUACACACCAUGUGUAUUUAUAUAUGUAUGUAUGAGGCUUGAGCUACGUGGAGUGACUGGAUGAGGCCCACAGGCUACAGGUCUGAACUGAAGGAUUUUGUUCUUCAUUUAACAAUUCGUUUUAGUUCAUUC